AACGAACGCUGGCGGCGUGCCUAACACAUGCAAGUCGAACGUGAAAGUCCUUCGGGAUGAGUAAAGUGGCGCACGGGUGAGUAACACGUAGGUGACCUACCAUUUAGAGGGGAAUAACCAGAAGAAAUUUUGGCUAAUGCCGCAUACGAAGCGCAAAUCUAAGAGUAGCGCUUGAAAGAAUGCCUCUGCAUAUGCAUUCACUAAAUGAUGGGCCUGCGGGACAUUAGCUAGUUGGUGGGGUAAUGGCCUACCAAGGCAACGAUGUCUAUCCGGUCUGAGAGGAUGAUCGGACACACUGGAACUGAGACACGGUCCAGACUCCUACGGGAGGCAGCAGUGGGGAAUAUUGCGCAAUGGGGGAAACCCUGACGCAGCAACGCCGCGUGAGUGAGGAAGGACUUCGGUCUGUAAAGCUCUGUUAAUGUGGAAAAAUGGUAGACGGUCUAAUAGGCCGUUUAUUUGAUGGUACACAUAGAGGAAGCACCGGCUAACUUCGUGCCAGCAGCCGCCGUAAUAC
rnacentral:rRNA from 1 species